GACGAACGCUGGCGGCGUUCUUAACACAUGCAAGUGGAGCGACGAACCAGGCUUCGGCCUGGGGCAGAGCCGCGAACGGGUGAGUAACACGUGGGUAACCUGCCCUGAUGAUUGGGACAACCCGAGGAAACUCGGGCUAAUACCAAAUGUGCCCUCCGGCCGUAAGGCCUCUGGGGAAAGGAAGCUUCGGCCUCCGCAUCGGGAUGGGCCCGCGGCCCAUUAGCUUGUUGGUGAGGUAACGGCUCACCAAGGCUACGAUGGGUAGCUGGUCUGAGAGGACGAUCAGCCACACUGGGACUGAGACACGGCCCAGACUCCUACGGGAGGCAGCAGCGGGGAAUCUUGCGCAAUGCGCGAAAGCGUGACGCAGCAACGCCGCGUGGGGAAGAAGGCC
rnacentral:rRNA from 1 species